UACAGGGGGUGCAAGCGUUAAUCGGAAUUACUGGGCGUAAAGCGUGCGUAGACGGUUAUUUAAGUCAGGUGUGAAAGCCCCGGGCUCAACCUGGGAAUUGCAUUUGAGACUGAAUAGCUAGGGUGCGGAAGAGGGAAGCGGAAUUUCCGGUGUAGCGGUGAAAUGCGUAGAUAUCGGAAGGAACACCAGUGGCGAAAGCGGCUUCCUGGUCCAGCACCGACGUUCAGGCACGAAAGCGUGGGGAGCAAACAGG
rnacentral:rRNA from 1 species